UACGAAGGGGGCUAGCGUUGUUCGGAAUUACUGGGCGUAAAGCGCACGUAGGCGGAUAUUUAAGUCAGGGGUGAAAUCUCAGAGCUCAACUCUGGAACUGCCUUUGAUACUGGGUAUCUUGAGUAUUGAAGAGGUGAGUGGAAUUCCGAGUGUAGAGGUGAAAUUCGUAGAUAUUCGGAGGAACACCGGUGGCGAAGGCGG
rnacentral:rRNA from 1 species